rnacentral:lncRNA from 1 species
GAAGACUCGACCGUCUGGCACAAUUUUAAUAAACCUGGAAUCUCUGACCAGUUUAAAAUUCAACAUUUGAUUACCAUUUAGUCUUUAUAUAUCAAGCAUUGAGAUUUUUUUUCACUAAAUUAAGGUAUCAAUCAAUUAAUCAUUUGCACAUGUUUUAGACUAAAGCACUGAUUGUAGCCACAAUCUGUCUACAAAAACCCACAGAAUCUGCAUUUCUCAGCCACGCAUAUAUCAAAGCAUGAUGUCGUACGUUUGAUCUCACUAUCUGAUAUAAUUCAACACAAUAACUUUGUGUUUAUUGAAGAAUUGUAAUUGCUUUUUUAAAUGGUUGGCUCUGAUUACAGUUCAAAAAUAA